GCCGGUAUAGCUCAGUUGGUAGAGCAGCUGAUUUGUAAUCAGCAGGUCGUCGGUUCGAGCCCGUCUGCCGGCU
rnacentral:tRNA from 1 species